AAAGGAAUAGACGGGGACCCGCACAAGCGGUGGAGCAUGUGGUUUAAUUCGACGCAACGCGAAGAACCUUACCAGGGCUUGACAUCCCUCGCCAGUCAUAGAAAUAUGAUGUUCUAUGCUUCGGUAUAGACGAGGAGACAGGUGGUGCAUGGUUGUCGUCAGCUCGUGUCGUGAGAUGUUGGGUUAAGUCCCGCAACGAGCGCAACCCCUACUUUUAGUUGCCAGCACAGAAGGUGGGCACUCUAAAGGAACUGCCGGUGACAAACCGGAGGAAGGUGGGGAUGACGUCAAAUCAUCAUGCCCUUUAUGUCCUGGGCUACACACGUGCUACAAUGGCCGGUACAGAAGGCAGCGAAGCCGCGAGGCGAAGCGAAUCCCAAAAAGCCGGUCUCAGUUCGGAUUGCAGUCUGCAACUCGACUGCAUGAAGUCGGAAUCGCUAGUAAUCGCGAGUCAGCAUAUCGCGGUGAAUACGUUCCCGGGUCUUGUACACACCGCCCGU
rnacentral:rRNA from 1 species